GCCGAAGUGGUGGAAUUGGUAGACACGCUAUCUUGAGGGGGUAGUGGCCACUGGCCGUGCCGGUUCAAGUCCGGCCUUCGGCACCA
rnacentral:tRNA from 1 species